CCUACGGGUGGCAGCAGUGAGGAAUAUUGGUCAAUGGACGAGAGUCUGAACCAGCCAAGUAGCGUGAAGGAUGACUGCCCUAUGGGUUGUAAACUUCUUUUAUAUGGGAAUAAAAUGUUCCACGUGUGGGAUUUUGUAUGUACUAUAUGAAUAAGGAUCGGCUAACUCCGUGCCAGCAGCCGCGGUAAUACGGAGGGUCCGAGCGUUAUCCGGAUUUAUUGGGUGUAAAGGGAGCGUAGGUGGAUUGUUAAGUCAGUUGUGAAAGUUUGCGGCUCAACCGGAAAAUUGCAGUUGAAACUGGCAGUCUUGAGUACAGUAGAGGUGGGCGGAAUUCGUGGUGUAGCGGUGAAAUGCUUAGAUAUCACGAAGAACUCCGAUUGCGAAGGCAGUUCACUGGACGGAGACUGACACUGAGGCGCGAAAGUGUGGGUAUCAAACAGGAUUAGAUACCCGUGUAGUC
rnacentral:rRNA from 1 species